UGCAGAAGCUGGAGGAUCUGAAGGCUUUCCAUUCUUGGUCUGGAAUAAGGUAGCCAUAAGCCUGACCCACGAGUGGAUAAGCUAGUGACCUAUCUGUGAUGUUUCUGCUCAAUACCUCAGAAGUUGAAGUCUCCACAUUCCUAUUGAUUGGGAUACCAGGACUUGAGCAUGCACACAUUUGGAUCUCUAUCCCCAUCUGCCUUAUGUACCUCAUGGCCAUCCUGGGCAACUGCACCAUCCUAUUUGUUAUCAGAACAGAGCAUUCCCUGCAAGAGCCCAUGUACUAUUUCCUCUCCAUGCUGGCCCUGUCCGACCUGGGCCUGUCUUUCUCCUCCCUACCCACGAUGCUGAGAAUCUUCUUGUUCAACAACAUGGGGAUUUCUGCUGAUACAUGCAUUGCCCAGGAAUUCUUCAUCCAUGGAUUCACAGACAUGGAGUCUUCAGUUCUCCUAAUCAUGUCCUUUGAUCACUUAGUAGCCAUUUGCAACCCCCUAAGAUAUAGCUCUAUUCUCACCAGCUUCAGGGUUUUGCAAAUUGGACUGGCUUUUGCCAUUAAAAGCAUUCUCCUAGUGCUACCCCUUUUACUUUAAAGAGACUCAGAUACUGUAAUAAACACCUUUUAUCCCACUCCUACUGCCUUCACCAGGAUGUAAUGAAGCUGGCCUGCUCUGACAACAGGGUUAACUUUUACUAUGGUUUGUUCGUUGCACUCUGCAUGAUGUCAGACAGUGUUUUUAUUGCUAUUUCCUAUAUGUGUUCAUCCUGAAGACUGUGUUGGGUAUUGCAUCCCAUGGGGAGUGCCUCGAAGCUCUUGACACCUGUGUGUCUCAUAUCUGUGCUGUACUCGUCUUCUAUGUGCCCAUCAUCACCUUGGCUACCAUGCGUCGCUUUGCUAAGCAUAAAUCCCCUUUAGCUAUGAUUCUGAUAGCAGAUGCAUUCUUGCUGGUACCACCCUUGAUGAAUCCCAUUGUGUAUUGUGUAAAAACUCGGCAGAUUAGAGUAAAGGUCCUGGAAAAAUUGGCUCUGAAGCCUAAAUGA
rnacentral:lncRNA from 1 species